rnacentral:rRNA from 1 species
CCCUUAGAUGUUCUGAGCCGCACGCGCGCUACACUGAUGCAUUCAACGAGCCUAUCCUUGACCGACAGGUCCGGGUAAUCUUUGAAUCUGCAUCGUGACGGGGAUAGAUUAUUGCAAUUAUUAAUCUUCAACGAGGAAUACCUAGUAGGCGCAAGUCAUCAGCUUGCGUCGAUUACGUCCCUGCCCUUUGUACACACCGCCCGUCGCUCCUACCGAUUGGGUGUGCUGGUGAAAUGUUCGGAUCGGCCGUUUGUCGCGGUUUCCGCGUCAUGUGGCUGAGAAGUUCAUUAAACCCUCCCACCUAGAGGAAGGAGAAGUCGUAACA